rnacentral:rRNA from 1 species
GCGAGAUUCAAUAUCAUUGGCAACAAUGAUGUGCACUUCUCGCUUAGUAAGACGUUGUGAUCCAUUAGAAAUUGGCCAUACCAAUGGCUAUGAGGUUAUCAAUAGGCCGGUGUAAAGUUCAUCAUUGCAAAUGACUACGAUCUUAAAUGGUUUGGUGUAUUGUAUGUUGAGUAYAUCGUGUUCUGCUUAUAACUGUCUGAUGGAUUUUAAAGGUCAUAAUAUUGAUGUUCGCAUCACCCAUAUUGUGGGAAUUUGUUAUGUGCCCGAUCAACAACGGUUAAAUUUGGGAUACCUUUUGGACCCGUCUUGAAACACGGACCAAGGAGUCUAUCUAUUGCGCGAGUAAAUGGGUAUAUGAAACCUAUUUGCGUAAAAAACUUGACUGUUAUGGGAUUACGAGUAUCCGUUUUAACGGUGCUCCUCCAUCCCGGGGUAUUUUCAUCAACACAUGCAGCAAUGUAUGUGGAAAAUAUACCAUGAGCGUAGUGGAUAUGACCCGAAAGAUGGUGAACUAUGCCUGAUCAGGUUGAAGUCAGGGGAAACCCUGAUGGAGGACCGAAGCAAUUCUGACGUGCAAAUCGAUUGUCAGAAUUGGGCAUAGGGGCGAAAGACCAAUCGAACCAUCUAGUA